CCCUGGUCUACCUUAGUACGGCGAGUGAAGCGGUAAAAGCUCAAAUUUGAAAUCUGGUACUUUCAGUGCCCGAGUUGUAAUUUGUAGAAUUUGUCUUUGAUUAGGUCCUUGUCUAUGUUCCUUGGAACAGGACGUCAUAGAGGGUGAGAAUCCCGUUUGGCGAGGAUACCUUUUCUCUGUAAGACUUUUUCGAAGAGUCGAGUUGUUUGGGAAUGCAGCUCAAAGUGGGUGGUAAAUUCCAUCUAAAGCUAAAUAUUGGCGAGAGACCGAUAGCGAACAAGUACAGUGAUGGAAAGAUGAAAAGAACUUUGAAAAGAGAGUGAAAAAGUACGUGAAAUUGUUGAAAGGGAAGGGCAUUUGAUCAGACAUGGUGUUUUUUGCAUGCACUCGCCUCUCGUGGGCUUGGGCCUCUCAAAAAUUUCACUGGGCCAACAUCAAUUCUGGCAGCAGGAUAAAUCAUUAAGAAUGUAGCUACUUCGGUAGUGUUAUAGCUUUUUGGAAUACUGUUAGCCGGGAUUGAGGACUGCGCUUCGGCAAGGAUGUUGGCAUAAUGGUUAAAUGCCGCCCGUCUUGAACCACGGGACCA
rnacentral:rRNA from 1 species